UCACAAAACAUGUGGACUAUUGGUCGAGCUUUAUUCGAAGACCAUGUCUUCUACACACAAGAACUUGACUUCCAUAUAAAAGUGAAUGAAUGGUAUUGAUACAACUUUGUUACAUGCAAGAAUUGUUUCAGUAUCAUCAAAACCCUCAUUCUCAUCUAUUAUUUGGGAGGCAAUGAGAAGCAGGAUACACCUCCAAGGUAUGCUCAGGUCAAAUCACACCUUUCAUAAAAUUGUUGAUGACUUAGCAUGGAAGUGUAGUUUUGUUCUAUAUGAGAGAGUAAAAAGGAAAACCGACCCAAAUGCCCAAUACUCACCAUCAUCAUUGAGUCGUCCUAACUCGUUCUGGCUCUAAAAAGUGAAAGGCUCAAGCUGUACCCAAGCCCAAGUUUAGUAGGCCUAAAACACUACAUUCUUGGGUUGGGCCGAAUGAAAGGGCUCAGGCUAGCCCGACUUUUAAAACCCUUAUUUAUAUCAAAUUCAAUAAAUUAAUGGGUUGGAGGCUGGAGCAAGUUAAAUCAGCAAGACUUCAUCCAUGAAUGGAGCCCGCCUUUGGGUUGGUGGGUGAUGAUAUGGCCGAGCCGAUACAACUUUAAAGAUGGUGGCGGGGGUCUUCAUAAUUCAAAGAUUUUAACAACGGCAAAGCAAGGCAUGUUUAUGCACUAGAUGCUGCUGGUGUACUCCCACUAGAGCUAUGGACAUCAACUUCCCUUUCCUAUCUGUAUGUUUUCUUUCUUAUACACACACCUCCAUAUAUUUCGUUUACAAUAUUACAUCACAGGUCUAGAGUGGAGGAUUUGAUUCUACGACUUUUUCAAUGUGGAAUGUUUUUACUGGUAGCACACAAUUUAAUUGACCUGGAUUCGAUUCCAACAAUUUCUCUGCUUCCUUACCACCAGAGCUUGGAAAUCUUUGUACGUUAGAGGAACUUGUAGUGAAGAGGGUGAGGAGAGGCUUCAAACUGAAAAAGGACACAAUUCUGAAGCUCGUCCUUGCAAAUCAGAGCUUCCAACUUCUCCAAAUCUCUCAUAUUUUCCACAAGUAUGAUGAGAUUAACCAUUACAAGAACCACCAAAAAUACCAAAUAAACAAACUUUGAAGCAUUGAAAAAUAUGGAAUACGCAACCAAUGACAAGAACUGCAUGGCCUUUAGCUUUCGCUUUGCUUCGGAUCUUCUCUCUUCCUUUGAUAAAUAUGUAGAGUUUCAUAACUGCCACACAAACAGUUCCAACUUAUAUGUAUGUACGUGCCAAUGUAGGCAUAGCCAAGAAGAUUAUUAGUGGAGUUUUUUCUGUUCACCACUUAAAUAUACAAAACAGUUGGUUGUUGAAUUGGUAUUAAAUGAGAGGAUUGACUUGUACACACCAUUCUUAUGAAAUUUAAUUAUUUAUAUAAUAUGUCUAUUGUUCCUGA